CCUACGGGGUGCAGCAGUGAGGAAUAUUGGUCAAUGGACGCAAGUCUGAACCAGCCAUGCCGCGUGCAGGAAGACGGCUCUAUGAGUUGUAAACUGCUUUUGUACGAGGGUAAACGCAGAUACGCGUAUCUGUCUGAAAGUAUCGUACGAAUAAGGAUCGGCUAACUCCGUGCCAGCAGCCGCGGUAAUACGGAGGAUUCAAGCGUUAUCCGGAUUUAUUGGGUUUAAAGGGUGCGUAGGCGGUCGGAUAAGUUAGAGGUGAAAUCCCGAGGCUCAACUUCGGAAUUGCCUCUGAUACUGUUCGGCUAGAGAGUAGUUGCGGUAGGCGGAAUGUAUGGUGUAGCGGUGAAAUGCUUAGAGAUCAUACAGAACACCGAUUGCGAAGGCGACUAUCUGGCACAUAACUGACGCUGAGGAGCGAAAGCGUGGGUAGCAAACAGGAUUAGAUACCCCAGUAGUC
rnacentral:rRNA from 1 species